UACGUAGGGGGCAAGCGUUGUCCGGAUUUAUUGGGCGUAAAGAGCGUGUAGGCGGCUAUGCAGGUCCGCUGUGAAAACUCGAGGCUCAACCUCGAGACGUCGGUGGAAACCGCAUGGCUAGAGUCCGGAAGAGGAGAGUGGAAUUCCCGGUGUAGCGGUGAAAUGCGCAGAUAUCGGGAAGAACACCCGUGGCGAAGGCGGCUCUCUGGGACGGUACUGACGCUGAGACGCGAAAAGCGUGGGGGAGCGAACAGGA
rnacentral:rRNA from 1 species